rnacentral:rRNA from 1 species
UGGAGGUUAGUCAAGGAGGACAGGUGGUGCAUGGUUGUCGUCAGCUCGUGUCGUGAGGAUGUUGGGUUAAGUCCCGCAACGAGCGCAACCCUUAUUGCUAGUUACCAUCAUUAAGUUGGGGGACUCUAGCGAGACUGCCAGUGAUAAACUGGAGGAAGGUGGGGAUGACGUCAAAUCAUCAUGCCCCUUAUGACCUGGGCUACAAACGUGAUACAAUGGCUGAAACAAAGGGCAGCGAAGCAGUGAUGUGGAGCGAAACCCAAAAAGCAGUCUCAGUUCGGAUUGAAGUCUGCAACUCGACUUCAUGAAGUUGGAAUCGCUAGUAAUCGUAGAUCAGAACGCUACGGUGAAUACGUUCUCGGGGUUU